rfam:Sus scrofa isolate TJ Tabasco breed Duroc chromosome 13, whole genome shotgun sequence.
UCCCUGGUGGUCUAGUGGUUAGGACUCUGUGCUUUCACCUCUGUGGCCCAGGUUCAAUUCCUUAUCUGGGAA